rnacentral:rRNA from 1 species
UCGAGCGGACAGAUGGGAGCUUGCUCCCUGAUGUUAGCGGCGGACGGGUGAGUAACACGUGGGUAACCUGCCUGUAAGACUGGGAUAACUCCGGGAAACCGGGGCUAAUACCGGAUGGUUGUUUGAACCGCAUGGUUCAAACAUAAAAGGUGGCUUCGGCUACCACUUACAGAUGGACCCGCGGCGCAUUAGCUAGUUGGUGAGGUAACGGCUCACCAAGGCAACGAUGCGUAGCCGACCUGAGAGGGUGAUCGGCCACACUGGGACUGAGACACGGCCCAGACUCCUACGGGAGGCAGCAGUAGGGAAUCUUCCGCAAUGGACGAAAGUCUGACGGAGCAACGCCGCGUGAGUGAUGAAGGUUUUCGGAUCGUAAAGCUCUGUUGUUAGGGAAGAACAAGUACCGUUCGAAUAGGGCGGUACCUUGACGGUACCUAACCAGAAAGCCACGGCUAACUACGUGCCAGCAGCCGCGGUAAUACGUAGGUGGCAAGCGUUGUCCGGAAUUAUUGGGCGUAAAGGGCUCGCAGGCGGUUUCUUAAGUCUGAUGUGAAAGCCCCCGGCUCAACCGGGGAGGGUCAUUGGAAACU